UACGUAGGGGGCGAGCGUUGUCCGGAUUUAUUGGGCGUAAAGGGUGCGUAGGCGGCCUUGUAAGUCAGAUGUGAAAUCUCACGGCUUAACCGUGGUAAGCAUUUGAAACUGUGAGGCUUGAGUACAGGAGAGGAGAGUGGAAUUCCUAGUGUAGCGGUGAAAUGCGUAGAUAUUAGGAGGAAUACCAGUGGCGAAGGCGACUCUCUGGACUGUAACUGACGCUGAGGCACGAAAGCGUGGGGAGCAAACAGGAUUAGAUACCCUGGUAGUCCACGCCGUAAACGAUGAGUGCUAGGUGUCGGGGGUCAAACCUCGGUGCCGCAGUUAACACAUUAAGCACUCCGCCUGGGGAGUACGGUGGCAACACUGAA
rnacentral:rRNA from 1 species